rnacentral:rRNA from 1 species
UAAUACGUAGGAGGCGAGCGUUGUCCGGAUUUACUGGGCGUAAAGCGCGCGCAGGUGGCAGCACAAGUAUUGGGUGAAAUCUCCCUGCUCAACGGGGAGGGUGCCUAGUAGACUGUGCAGCUAGAGGGCGGUAGAGGGGUGUGGAAUUGCUGGUGUAGCGGUGAAAUGCGUAGAGAUCAGCAGGAACACCCGUGGCGAAGGCGGCACCCUGGGCCGCACCUGACGCUGAGGCGCGAAGGCUAGGGGAGCGAACGGGAUUAGAUACCCCGGUAGUCCUAGCAGUAAACGAUGGCCACUAGGUGUGGGGGGUGUUGACCCCUCCCGUGCCGAAGCUAACGCAUUAAGUGGCCCGCCUGGGGAGUACGGUCGCAAGACUA